GUGCAGUAGACAUUGCUUACCUAGAUUUCAGUAAGGCUUUUGACACUGUUGCACAUAGGAGGCUUAUCAAUAAACUGCAAUCUUUAAGUUUGGAUUCCAAUAUUGUUGAAUGGGUAAGGCAACAGAGGGUUGUAGUCAAUGGAGUAUAUUCGAAGCUUGGGCUUGUCACCAGUGGGGUACCUCAGGGAUCUGUACUUGGACC